AACGAACGCAGGCGGCAGGCCUAACACAUGCAAGUCGAACGCUGUAGCAAUACAGAGUGGCAGACGGGUGAGUAACGCGUGGGAACAUGCCCUUCGGUUCGGAAUAACUCAGGGAAACUUGAGCUAAUACCGGAUACGCCCUUAGGGGGAAAGAUUUAUUGCCGAAGGAUUGGCCCGCGUUCGAUUAGUUAGUUGCUGAGGUAGUGGCUCACCAAGGCAACGAUCGGUAGCUGGUCUGAGAGGGUGGUCAGCAACACGGGGACUGAGACACGGCGCAGAGUCCUGCGGGAGGCAGCUGUGAGGAAAAAUGGACUAAGGGAGUAAGCCUGGUACAGCCAUGCCGCGUGAGUGAUGAAGACCCGAGGGUUGUAAAACUCUUUCGCAGGCGGCGAUAAUGAAGGUAGCGUGAGAAGAAGCCCCGGCUAACUUCGUGCCAGCCGCAGCCGUAACAC
rnacentral:rRNA from 1 species